rnacentral:rRNA from 1 species
GGGUUUGAUCCUGGGCUCAGAUUGAACGCUGGCGGGAUGCUUUACACAUGCAAGUCGAACGGCAGCACGGACUUCGGUCUGGUGGCGAGUGGCGAACGGGUGAGUAAUGUAUCGGAACGUGCCUGAAGAAGGUGAUGAUAACUACGUGAAAGCGUAGCUGUAAUACCGCAUAUUGCCCUUCGGGGAAAGUGGGGACCUUCGGGCCUCGCACUAUUAGAGCGGCCGAUAUCGGAUUAGCUAGUUGGUGGGGUAACGGCUCACCAAGGCGACGAUCCGUAGCUGGUUUGAGAGGACGACCAGCCACACUGGGACUGAGAUACGCCCGACUCUCACGGAGGCAGCGGGGGAAUUUUGACAAUGGGGAAACUCUGAUCCGUUUCUAUCCGGCGCGUGCGAUGGCGCCUUCGGGUUGUAAAGCACUUUUGGCAGGAAAAAGAAACGGCACGAUAAUACCCCGUGCAACUGACGGUACCUGCAGAAUAAGCACCGGCUAACUACGCCAGCAGCGCGGUAAUACGAAGUGCAAGCAGCACUGGAAUUACCGGGCGAAGCGUGCGCAGGCGGUUCGGAAAGAAAGAUGUGAAAUCCCAGAGCUUAACUUUGGAACUGCAUUUUUAACUGCCAUCGAGCUAGAGUGUGUCAGAGGGAGGUGGAAUUCGCGUAGCAGUGAAAUGCGUAGAUAUGCGGAGGAAUACCUGAUGGCGAAGGCAGCCUCCUGGGAUAACACUGACGCCAUACUGAAAGCGGGGAGCAAAACAGGAUUAGAUGGACUUCUGUAGUCCACGCCCUUCUAAACGAUGUCAACUAGCUGUUGGGGCCUUCGGGCUCGGCAGCGCAGCUAACGCGUGUGCCGGACCGUUCAGAGUACGGUCGCAAGAUUAAAACUCAAAGGAAUUGACGGGGACCCGCACAAGCGGUGGAUGAUAUGGAUUAAUUCGAUGCAACGCGAAAACCUUACCUACCCUUGACAUGUCUGGAAUCCCGAAGAGAUUUGGGAGUGCUCGCAAGAGAACCGGAACACAGGUGCUGCAUGGCUGUCGUCAGCUCGUGUCGUGAGAUGUUGGGUUAAGUCCCGUAACGAGCGCAACCUUUAUUAGUUGCUAUGAAAGGGCACUCCACGAGACUGCCGGUGACAAACUUGGAGGAAGGUGGGGAUGAUGUCAAGUCCUCAUGGCUCUAUGGGUAGGGCUUCUACACGUCAUACAAUGGUCGGGCGAGGCCGCCAACCCGCGAGGGGGAGCCAAUCCCAGAAACCCGAUCGUAGUCCGGAUCGCAGUCUGCAACUCGACUGCGUGAAGUCGGAAUCGCUAGUAAUCGCGGAUCAGCAUGUCGCGGUGAAUACGUUCCCGGUCUGUACACACCGCCCGUCACACCAUGGGAGUGGGUUUUACCAGAAGUAGUUAAGCCUAACCGUAAGGGGAGGGCGAUUACCUACGGUAGGAUUCAUGACUGGGGGUGAAGUCGUAACAAGGUAA